rnacentral:rRNA from 1 species
AGAGUUUGAUACCUGGCUCAGAACGAACGCUGGCGGCGUGCCUAACACAUGCAAGUCGAACGUGAAAGUCCUUCGGGAUGAGUAAAGUGGCGCACGGGUGAGUAAUGCGUAGAUAAUCUGCCUGAUGAUCUGGGAUAACAUCUCGAAAGGGGUGCUAAUACCGGAUAAGCCCACGGGCUCUUCGGAGCUUGCGGGAAAAGGGGGGGACCUUCGGGCCUUCUGUCAUCAGAUGAGUCUACGUACCAUUAGCUAGUUGGUAGGGUAAAGGCCUACCAAGGCGACGAUGGUUAGCUGGUCUGAGAGGAUGAUCAGCCACACUGGAACUGAGACACGGUCCAGACUCCUACGGGAGGCAGCAGUGGGGAAUUUUGCGCAAUGGGGGAAACCCUGACGCAGCAACGCCGCGUGAGUGAUGAAGGCCUUCGGGUCGUAAAGCUCUGUCAGAGGGAAAGAAAUGUGGGGCGCUAAUACCGUUACCACUUGACGGUACCCUCAGAGGAAGCGCCGGCUAACUCCGUGCCAGCAGCCGCGGUAAUACGGAGGGCGCAAGCGUUAAUCGGAAUCACUGGGCGUAAAGCGUGCGUAGGCUGUCUGAUAAGUCAGGCGUGAAAUCCCUCGGCUCAACCGGGGAACUGCGUUUGAUACUGUCGGACUUGAGUCCUGGAGAGGGUGGCGGAAUUCCUGGUGUAGGAGUGAAAUCCGUAGAUAUCAGGAGGAACACCGGUGGCGAAGGCGGCCACCUGGACAGGUACUGACGNUGAGGCACGAAAGCGUGGGGAGCAAACAGGAUUAGAUACCCUGGUAGUCCACGCGGUAAACGAUGUGAUGCUAGGUGUCGGGGAGCGUAUCUUCGGCGCCGCAGCUAACGCAUUAAGCAUCCCGCCUGGGGAGUACGGUCGCAAGGCUGAAACUCAAGAUGAAUUGACGGU